UACGGAGGAUCCGAGCGUUAUCCGGAUUUAUUGGGUUUAAAGGGUGCGCAGGCGGGAUGUUAAGUCGGCGGUGAAAUUUUGCAGCUCAACUGUAAAAGUGCCUUCGAAACUGGUUUCCUUGAGUGUAGAUGAAGUAGGCGGAAUUUGUGGUGUAGCGGUGAAAUGCAUAGAUAUCACGAGGAACUCCGAUUGCGCAGGCAGCUUACUAAACUACUACUGACGCUCAUGCACGAAGGCGUGGGGAUCAAACAGGAUUAGAUACCCU
rnacentral:rRNA from 1 species